GUCUUGUAUCUUAUCUGUUGAUUUCAUUGGUUAAUAAUAAAGAAACUGCCUCGGCCCUCAUAGGACAGAAAAUUAGGUAGGCGGAGUAGACAGAGGAGAAUGCUGGGAAAAAGAAGCUGAGUAAGAGUCGCCAUGAUGCUCCCGCUCCAGACAGACGCAGGUUAAGAUCCUCCCUGGAUCCGAACCACAGGUGCCAACAGGACAUGUGACCCAAAAGCAAGUAAAUAAAUAAAACGUCUCCUCCUGAAGAAGAGCAUCGUCUACAGAACAGACGACACAACUGGAGGGGACAGCCCUGCGACGUGGCAGCAGACCUCGCAUCGUCUUAGCAUCUUUACGCUCUGUCCGGGACGGUCUCUUGGGGGCUGUGUUCUAAAGGAAGCCUACACCCUCCAUUAUGUCAGCCCUAUGAAACGUUCUCAACAUUUCUCAGAGGAGCAAAAGUGACAGCUAAUGCCAUUCCAGACUCUAAAUAAGGCUGGAUGAGCCCCUCCCAAAAGUCAGCACCAGUGUGGAACCCUAUCCAACCCCCCCUUCAUUGUGCUCCAGGCACAGACUACAGCUCCAUCUAAGGCUGAAGGUGUGGUGCGGGAACAAAAAUCACCGCCUGAAGUACUGAAGAGAACGGCCAGUGGGUAGACAAGCGAUCACAGCCGUCUCAGCAACCCACACUCCCCAAGGCCAUGCAGCUAUCAAUCAGCGAUGGGGAGACAUCUCCACUCAUACCCUGCCAAAGACAUAGACCAUUUUUUCCACCUACUCCAGUCCAUUGAAAUAUGAAUCUAAGUCACAGUCCGUUACUCUUCUGUACCUAAAGGAAAAGAAUGCCAGCAGCCGCUACGGUCACCACCACUCGUGUGGGAAACCUCUGAGGAUGCUGACUCAUCGUUCCUGCUUGAACCAGCGUGCCCUUCAUAAUGGUUUCACUUUUUAGAGACAUCUCUAACAGUAUCUCCUGCUGUGCCACAAAAGGAGAAAACGGCCAUUCUUUUUCCUGCCCUGAUCCCUAGCGUUUAGGAUAAAGGUGUGUUAUGUGCAAGAGGCCGCUAUGUUUCACCUAGUACUUUCCAUUCAUUUGUCUCCUUAUAGUUGUUUUUUAAGACUUAUUUUUUUUAUUAUGUAUACAGUGUUCUGUCUGCAUGUAUGCCUGCACUCCAGCAGAGGGCACCAGAUCUCAUUACAAAUGGUUGUGAGCCAUCAUGUAGGUCCUAGGACUUGAACUCAAGACCUCUGGAAGAGCAGCUAGUGCUAUUAACCAAUGAGUCAUCCCUCCAGCCCCAGUGUCUCCUUAUCCUACACAAGGGCACAGUGUCUCAAUAAAGGCAACUGUUACCUCUCUGUGACAAUCUAAUAAUACAAAACUUAUGUCAGCAAACAUAUACUAUAUCCUUAUGAAUAUAAGACAUUUCUGCUUCAAAUAAUACUAUCAAGAAUGUAAGAAGACAGGUUCAGUGAGAGUGGGUGAGACAAGAGGAGACUGGGGUGAACAUGAUCAAAUUGCAUUAUAAAUGGAUAAAACUGUCAAAGAAUAACUUUUUUAGAAAAUUAAAGAAAUAGUUCUAGUGAGAUGGUUCAAUAGGAAGGGGCUGCUGCCAAGACUGGACACCUGAGAUCAAGCCCUGCUACCCAUAUAGUAGAAGGAGAGAAUUCACUAUGAAAAGUGGCGCUAUGACCUCCAUUGUAUACAUGGUAUGGGUGGGUACAUGCACACAUUUGCAUGAGCGCUCUCUCUCUCACACACACACACAGAGACACACACACUCAACAUAAAUAAAUAAAUGUAAAAACACUUCUGUCAAUAAAAAGAAAAAAAACAGAUAGGUGAAAGACAAUUGUUUCAUAAGGGACUUAUAACCCAAUUAUAAAUAAAAUUUUAAAACAUAUUCACAAAAAAAAAAAGAUAUACAAAAGGCCAGUAAUCACACAAGUGACUGCCAGUGUAACCAGGGACUAGGAAAUGCAAACAGACAUCACAGUGAGAUGACCACCUCAUGCCCACUAACGAGAGAUGGCUGCAAUUGGUUUAGGCACUAGUAGUGCUAAUGAAGAUGUGCAGAAAAGGGACACUGAUUUAGUCCUGCAGUGCUGUAAAUGAUAAAGCCACUCUGGAAAAUGGUUGGCAGAUCCUCAAAUGUUGAAUCCAGCAACUCUACUCCUGGGCCUGAAAACAUGUGUCCAUGCAAAAACUUGAACAUGGAUGCUUACAACUUUAUUAGUCAGAAUACCCCAAAAAACAAAUGCCAAUCAGCUGAUGAGAAGAUAAAGAAAAAGAAGUCUGGUCAUGCAAUGGCAUA